GAACUGAAGAGUUUGAUCAUGGCUCAGAUUGAACGCUGGCGGCAGGCCUAACACAUGCAAGUCGAGCGGAUGAAGGGAGCUUGCUCCUGGAUUCAGCGGCGGACGGGUGAGUAAUGCCUAGGAAUCUGCCUGGUAGUGGGGGAUAACGUCCGGAAACGGGCGCUAAUACCGCAUACGUCCUGAGGGAGAAAGUGGGGGAUCUUCGGACCUCACGCUAUCAGAUGAGCCUAGGUCGGAUUAGCUAGUUGGUGGGGUAAAGGCCUACCAAGGCGACGAUCCGUAACUGGUCUGAGAGGAUGAUCAGUCACACUGGAACUGAGACACGGUCCAGACUCCUACGGGAGGCAGCAGUGGGGAAUAUUGGACAAUGGGCGAAAGCCUGAUCCAGCCAUGCCGCGUGUGUGAAGAAGGUCUUCGGAUUGUAAAGCACUUUAAGUUGGGAGGAAGGGCAGUAAGUUAAUACCUUGCUGUUUUGACGUUACCAACAGAAUAAGCACCGGCUAACUUCGUGCCAGCAGCCGCGGUAAUACGAAGGGUGCAAGCGUUAAUCGGAAUUACUGGGCGUAAAGCGCGCGUAGGUGGUUCAGCAAGUUGGAUGUGAAAUCCCCGGGCUCAACCUGGGAACUGCAUCCAAAACUACUGAGCUAGAGUACGGUAGAGGGUGGUGGAAUUUCCUGUGUAGCGGUGAAAUGCGUAGAUAUAGGAAGGAACACCAGUGGCGAAGGCGACCACCUGGACUGAUACUGACACUGAGGUGCGAAAGCGUGGGGAGCAAACAGGAUUAGAUACCCUGGUAGUCCACGCCGUAAACGAUGUCGACUAGCCGUUGGGAUCCUUGAGAUCUUAGUGGCGCAGCUAACGCGAUAAGUCGACCGCCUGGGGAGUACGGCCGCAAGGUUAAAACUCAAAUGAAUUGACGGGGGCCCGCAC
rnacentral:rRNA from 1 species